ensembl:lncRNA
GAGACAGAGAGGGAGUGAGACGCAAGUGCAAGGAAGAAAAACGAUUUUUCCUGCUGCUGUUUUGUCAGGGCCUCUAGCACCCCAUUAGAUAAUUGGUGUUGUGAGCUCUGUGCUUUCUGUCUCUCUGUUCUUGAGACAGUGCCUUGGAAGAUACAGGAACCACAAGGGUCGAGAGGGUCUGAGGCAUACAGAGGCCACACAUGGCCUCCUCAGGGCCCAUGCUGCUGUUUAAAGUUGAGAGCAAGAUACAGCAGCAUAGAUCAGAGUAGCAGCACAGGCAGUAUGGUUGCGAGGGAGUUGACGCAGCCGACAGGAUGCCAGUCUUGGAGAAACAAGAAACAUCUCCCCACUGCAAUCGCUGAGGGAUCGCUGCCCAAUCUGAUUACUGCAUUCGUCAACCUGCCACCCUGUUCUGCAGCUAAACAAAGCCAACACCAGAUAAGACCCUGCUGACUCCUUCAACACUGCUUGAGACAAUUCCUCACUAAUGUAAAUUUACCCCCUCCCCCCACCCCCACACUCCAACCUAAUGCACACAGGGAAGGGAACACAUUGGAAAAUAGUGGAAAUGCUUUCAGUUCUGUUUAUCUGAUGGACAGAAGACAAAGGUCUACAUUACAAUCAAGCUCUAAUGCACUGCAUUACACAUGCCACAUCCUCAAAAGACUUCUGGUCAUGUCCCAGUGGCUACCCUGAAAGACUUCAACUGUAGCUCAGUGUUUGUGGGUUUUUCUAUUACAAGACUGUCCCAGCUAUUUAUUUUUCAGUUUGUUUUAUUGCUCGUUCCUAAAGGCUCAAUUCUAGAGUGAUUGCUGACUAUAGUUCUUGAAGCCUAGAUUGGGUUUAUACCAGUAUGUCUUGUAAUGCUCCCCAGUGAAUGUCUUAUUGGGAGCUUAACAGUCUGACAUUCCUUAUCAGGAACUGAUGGUGGUAAAUGGCACGAUUAGUGUAAUCUUCUCAACCUAUGGUUACAUCAUCAUGAAAAUAAUUUUUCUAAUCUGAAUAGAAUCUCAUGUUUCUGGAUUCAAAUCAAGAAAAGGCUGUGUUGCACCUGCUUAGAAAUGGUAAGCUUCCUCAUAGUGCCUGUAUCAAUUGUUCAUUUUAUGCUCAUAAUUAAUAACAGAUGGUCAGUUUCUAUUCCCACAUCAUUUUCUUUUAAAUUUCAAUUUAUGAACCAUUGAUUCCUUAUUAUUUCAGUAACACUUUAGUUUUGGGGACCAGUUCUCACUAUUAACUAACUAUUAACUACGACUUUUGCCUCAAUAAACUCUUACUUUGCUGCUUAUAGUUAGUAAGG